AAUUAUCUCAGUGUUUUUAAUUAAUUUUAUUUCAAUCAUUUUAAAAGUGUUGAGAUUUAUUCUGUGGUCUAGUUUAGUGACUGUUCCAUAAGCACUUAAUAAUAAGAGAUGUUUUCCUAUUGUUAGGUGUGGAGUUUUGUUAAUGACAAACAGGUUAUGUGCAUCAACAGGAUUAUCCACAUCUUUUUUUAUCUUUACUACAUUUGUUAACUACUGGCUCUAUCAAUUAUGGAAAGAGAAUUUCUAAAAUCUCCAACUAUAAUUGUGGAUUUGGAAAUUUCUCCCUACAAUUCGUUGGGUUUUGCUUCAUAUACUCUGAAGCAAUUAUUAGGUACCUAUAUAUUUAGGAUUGCUCUGUCUUUUUGUGGUAGUGCCUUUUAUCAUUAUAAAAUGCCUAUCCAUCAUUUGUGUUGAUACUUUUUAUGUCUGGUACUCUGGUAUUAAUAUAGCCCUUCUGGCUUCCCUAUAGUGUUUGGGUGGUAGAUCCUAUUCUUUCAUUAAGUCCUAAUCUCUGUCUUUAUCUAAUAAAAGCAUGUCAGUUGUCUGCUCCCAGACUGAUACCAUACUGAUUUGGUAGCAGUAGCUUUGCAGUAUGUUCUGACAUCCAGUAAGGCAGUCUCUCCCCUUCCUUAUCCCUCUUCCUCAUCAUGCCUUUGUUGGUAUCCUCACAGGAACUGACUCUCCUAUAUACAUUUUAAGGUUGUCUUAACCAAUUAGAAACACUGGGCAGAUCAGCGGUUACCUAGGGAUGAGGCAGAAGGAAUGAUGGAUCACAAAUGGAGGAGAUGGGAGUUCCCGUCGUGGCGCAGUGGUUAACGAAUCCGACUAGGAACCAUGAGGUUGCGGGUUUGGUCCCUGCCCUUGCUCAGUGGGUUAAGGAUCUGGUGUUGCAGUGAGCUGUGGUGUAGGUUGCAGAUGUGGCUCGGAUCCCACGUUGCUGUGGCUCUGGCGUAGGCCAGUGGUUACAGCUCCAAUUCAACCCCUAGCCUGGGAACCUCCAUAUGCCAUGGGAGCGGCCCAAAGAAAUAGCAAAAAGACAAAAAACAAAACAAAAAAAACAAAUGGAGGAGAGGGGACGGUUAUCCUGACAGUGGUGGUGGUUACACGUGUGUAUACAUACACUGAAACUAAUCAAGUUGUACACCUUAAAUAUAUCCAUCAAUCCCACGGGGCUGGUUUUCAGAGUUUAUGUUGAGUACAACGAGGACCUUGACCACUUGGCAAAUGAGUAAGUGGCUAGAUUGAAACUAGGAAGUUUUGAAACAAGGUCCUACCUUAGUGCAUAAGGGACUAUAUUCAAUAUCCUGUGAUAAACUGUAAUGGAAAAUAAUAUGAAAAAGAAGCAUAUGCGUAUAUGCUUCUUUUUCAAAUAUAUGUAUUUGUUGUACAGCAGAAAUUAACAGAAAGUAAAUCAACCAUACUUCACUAAUUUUUUUUUUCCUUUUCUGGCUGCCUUACAGCAUAUGGAGUUCUCAGGUCAGGGAUCAGAUCCAAGCCACAGCUUUGGCAACCCUGGAUCCUCUGACCCACUGCACAGGCGGGGCUGGGGAUCGAACCUGCAUCCUGGCACUGCAGAGACACUGCCGAUCCCAUUGUGCUACUGCAGGAACUCCCAAUAAAAUAAACUUUUUUUAAAAAAAGAAAGAAACUGGAGUUCCUGUUGUGGCUCAGUGGAAACAAAUCUGAGUAGCAUCCAUAAGGACACAGGUUUGAUCCCUGGCCUCAAUCAGUGGGUUAAGGAUCCAGCAUUGCUGUGAGCUGUGUAGGUCGCAGAUACAGCUCGGAUCUGGCAUUGCUGUGGCUGUGGUGUAGGUUCCUAGCCUGGGAACUUCCAUAUCCCACCAGUGCGGCCCUAAAAAGACAAAUAAAUAAAUAAAUGUAAAAAAAAAUUUUUAAAUAAAAAUAAAAAACUAAGGAGUUCCCAUCGUGGCUCAGUGGUAAUGAAUCUGACUAGUAUCCAUGAAGAGGCAGGUUCAAUCCCUGGCCUCGCUCAGUGGGGUUAAGGAUCUGGCAUUGCCAUGAGCUGUGGUGUGGGUCGCAGAUGCAGCACAGAUCCUGUGUUGCUGUGGUUGUGGUGUAGGUGGGCAGCUGCAGCUCUGAUUUGCCCCCUAGCCUGGGAACCUCCAUAUGCUGAGGGUGCGGCCUUAAGGAAAAAAAAAAAGCUAAGAAGCGUUAUUUCCCCUUGUUACGAAAUUAAUUAACCCUUGACCUCAUGUUACUAGUUUAGUGUAUUCGGUAUUAAUGCUGCUAGCUAGGCACUUCUUGGAUGGCUGGCAGUGAGCUGCCCACAGACAGCUUCCCUGGGUGGCUUAGAGCAACCAGGUGCCAGCAGGUGAGGCAGCCGGGAACCCAGUGCCCUGGACACACCCCCUCAGCCCUUCGUGAUGUGGUCUCCCAUCACCAUCCCUCAGGCAGCUUCACACAGGACAGUCCCCAGCCAGACUCCUCCUCUUGCAGGGCUUCUGCGGCACCUUCUGAUGAGCCUGGAGGGUUCUGUUGGAAGGUGGAUUUCAAGCAAGUCCUUCCAAGGAAGCCCCUGUAACCCCAUAAGCGGUGCCCGAACUCUCAUGGGUCUGAGGCUCAGCCUGGGGACGGGCUGGCCUCACUCCCAGAUGAAAUGACUGCUGCUCCUGUGCUCUUUAGAGCCCUUUUAUGAGCCAAUCCCCAGGACCCCUGCUCAUACGUCUUUAUUCCAAGCUCUCCCUGUACAAGUUUCUGUGUGGUUUGGGUCUUCUGGGUGGACCUGGACUGAAACACAGGCUCAGAAAACAAUUCCUCAGCAAGCAUCAGCUCUCUUUUGUGAAAAAGGAAGGAUGACUGAGAAGGCGGCAUCGAAAGCCCAGAGGAACCAAGAGCCAUGGAGAUGGCCACCAGGAUCCAGGUCCUGAUAGUCACGCUGCUGCAUGGACCCUCCCACAUUUAGGGGAGACGAUAAGAUCCUGAGGAGAUGACAGAGCGACAAGAUGAGUCCCAGAGAUUUUGUAGCUUCCGCCUUGGGUCACUGGAUUUGGUGGACCAGAGGUGCUAUGUCAGUAGGAUACGACAGGAGCCAUAGGCAGAGCUCCCCACGGUGAGGAGCUGAGGCUCCCAUCUGAAUUCUGUGAAUAUGUGACGCGUCUUAUCAACAGUCUGGAGGGAGGUAUCUUGGCAGGAGACCCUUCAGCUCCAAUCGAACCUUCAGAUGACUGCAGCCCUGAUGGACAUCUUGACUGCAACCUCAAACGCUGGUGACCCCCAAGCCAAACUAUCCCACAGCUGCUCCCAAUUCCUCACCCAACGAAACUGUGAGAUAACAAAUGAUUACCAGGAGUUCCCGUCGUGGCGCAGUGGUUAAUGAACCCAACUAGGAACCAUGAGGUUGUGGGUUCCAUCCCUGACCUCGCUCAGUGGAUUACAGAUCCAGCAUUGCUGUGAGCUGUGGUGUAGGUCCCAGACACGGCUCAGAUCGGGCGUUGCUGGGGCUGUGGCGCAGGCCGGCAGCUGCAGCUCCGAUUUAACCCCAAGCCUGGGAACUUCCAUAUGCUUCGGGCGUGGCCCUAAAAAGACAACAAAUAAAUAAAUAAAUAAAUAACCAGGAAAACUGAGGAGAAGAGCAGUGACCUGGGGGCUCUGGCCUGCCAGGUGCUAAAACAUGCCACAGAACCUCUAUAAUGAAAACGGCUUGCUAGAGGCAUAUGACUAGGCUUGCAAACCAAUGCAACAUAUGAGAAGGUACAGAAAACCUAAGAAUUAUGACAGUUGCCAUAUGACAAAGGAUUUAUGUUAACUCUUAAAUUAAUGGAGGAAAGAGACUUUUUAAUAAAGCGAGUUGGAACACCCGAUAGCCAUCUGGGGAAAGACAAAAUUAAAUCCUUGCCUCACAAGAAGCAAGAGAAUAGGGGCUACCUGGUGGGUGGCUCGGAUGGUUAAGGAUCUGGCCAUUGUCACUGCAGCAGCUCAGGUCACCGGUUCGAUCCCUGGCUCAGGAACUUCCAUGUACUGAAGGCAUGUCUCUAAAGAAUAAAAGAUAUAAGAGAAUAAAUUGCAAAUGGGUCAGAUUUAAAUGUAAAAAAAUGAAACCACUAAACGUAUUAGAGUGCGGAGACCCUUCCUACUACCCCAAAUACAGAGAACAAACUGUUCUGGAUCUAAGCAGACUUAAAACAACUAAACGCAACAUCUGGACUUUGACUGAAUCCUAGUUUGAACAAACCAGCGGUGAAAUAUAUUUUGGGGACCCUAAGGAAAUUUGACUAUGGACCUGGUAUUUGAUGACACUAAGGAAUUAUCGUUAAUUCUGUUUGGCUAAGCAGGAAAUGGUCAUUUCUUUAGAGAUGCAAGUUACUGAAAGAAUUUGAGGUAAAAAUACCAUGUUUUCAGCAGAAAAAAAAUAUUAAGUUGCAGUGAUUCUGGUAUAUUAUCAUAGGAACUCAGAAAAGCUCUGAAUCCUUCUAAUUUGGGCAGCUCACUACUUUCUAGUCUGAAUUUUGUCAUGAAAAAAAAAAAAAUCAUUCUAGAAAAUGCCCCAAACGGCACCCACAUCAACUCUCACCAGUGGACACGCAUAGCCAGCUGUGCUAUAUCUGGUUUAGUGCCUAAGAGAACCCGGCCUCGCGCCCCAGGACUGCCAGGGCAGCUGCCAGGGGUUUUUGCAAAAGGAGGAAAUCAUUCCCCCUGCCCCGCCCCAGGUCAGCAAGGCCCGGAAGCGGGGCCUGAGGGCGGCAAGACGUGGAAACGUCUGUCCAGAAGGAGUCCUGGCGGGCGUGCCCACAGCAUUCCCAGCCCCCGCCCCGGGGAUGCAGCGGAGCCCUGGGAAAAUGGGGUCAAGGGCGGCUCCACUUUCUCAGCUCCGCAGACGGCCCAGGAUGCCCCGAGUCGGGCCGGAGCAGCAGCAGCAGGACUGUGCACACCCCUUCCCCAGGGCAGAGCUGGGAGCAGGGCAGGGACAGGGCAGGGACAGGGAAGGGCGGGGCACCAGGGAGAUGCCGUCUUGUCACCACAGCCCUCUUUCACUCCAGGGCUGCCUGGCGUGGGAGAACUUGGGUCACACGAGUACAAACCCUGGCUCGGUCGAGAAAGGACAGAAGCUGCAACCUCGUCUCUCCCAGGGCAAAGGUCACCACUCAGCUUGACCGGACACAUCACAGAGGGGGCAGCCAGCAGGGCCUGCCGCCUUGGGCCUUUCUAGAAAGCCUGGGCUGUCAGUGUCCUCGAGACAGUUUUAAGCUGGAAGACGUUUCCUUCCACAACAGGUUGACAAUUGCCUUUACCUCCCAAGCUGAGGUUUAUGUAUUUAAUCUUGAAUAGGGUUUGUGUUCAUCUUAUAAACUCCUGAAGCUGCCCUUGUGACACUGGGCUACCUGGUGACCUGGGGCCUCGGUCCCCUGUCUGCUCAGGGGAAGAGCCUCACCCUAGACCCAGAUGGACACACUUCUCAAGCCAACUCUUCAUCACCACAGAUUCUUUUUGCAAU
rnacentral:lncRNA from 1 species